rnacentral:rRNA from 1 species
UACAGAGGGUGCAAGCGUUGUUCGGAAUUACUGGGCGUAAAGGGCUCGUAGGCGGCCAACUAAGUCAGACGUGAAAUCCCUCGGCUUAACCGGGGAACUGCGUCUGAUACUGGAUGGCUUGAGUGUGGGAGAGGGAUGCGGAAUUCCAGGUGUAGCGGUGAAGUGCGUAGAUAUUGGGAAGAACACCGGUGGCGAAGGCGGCUCUCUGGACCGAGACUGACGCUGAGGCGCGAAAGCGUGGGGAGCAAACAGG